CAGUCGCUGUGUGACGCGGUAAUUUUCCACCACGCAGAUAUCGAUCUGAAUUUAUACGCGACGGCUGCGCAUGCGCACGGCGCUGCGCCGUCAUCGGAAUCACCUAUACCAGAGUUGCAUUCGCUGCCUAUACCUUACCACAUCCCAGUCUACCGCGUGCAGUUUCCACCGUGCUUUAUUUCCACAUACAUACAGUCGCCACAGGCUGCACGCUAGGCAUCGCCGUCUUCUCGAAAACGAUACCCGACAGUGUUGACGUUUGAGCUCCGUCGAACUUGAAGAUGAUGUCUACCACAGUAGAGACAAGCAUGUCGGGUUUUGCGCUUGUGGAGAAUGGGAAAUCUGCGGAGAGUGCUACCUGCAACUCGUUCGUACAAAACGGAAGCAUCCCGCCGAACGAGGCCUCGGCUUUCCUGGAGAAGGUUCUGCGCAUGCUCGUUGAGUCUAAGGUUGUUGCGGCCGACGGCAGCUUCCCUGAUCGUGUGAUCGAGUUUCUGCAUCCCGAUGAA